AGAGUUUGAUCCUGGCUCAGAACGAACGCUGGCGGCGUGGAUUAGGCAUGCAAGUCGAACGAGAAAGAGGGAGCAAUCUCUCGAGUAAAGUGGCGAACGGGUGAGUAACAGGUGGGUAACGUGCCCCGAAGUGGGGGAUAACCCGGGGAAACUCGGGUUAAUACCGCAUGUGGCGCUUUGGACUUCGGUCCGAAUCGUUAAAGGUGCAAAUCGCUUCGGGAUCGGCCCGCCCCUGAUUAGCUAGUUGGUGAGGUAACGGCUCACCAAGGCUACGAUCAGUAGCUGGUCUGAGAGGAUGGUCAGCCACACUGGGACUGAGAUACGGCCCAGACUCCUACGGGGGGCAGCAGUCUAGAGGCUUCGGCAAUGGGGGAAACCCUGACCGAGCGACGCCGCGUGUGGGAUGAAGGCGUUUACGUCGUAAACCACUGUUGGGAGGGAAGAAUGCCCGGAUGGCGAAUCCGGGAGUGACGGUACCUCCGUAGAAAGCCCCGGCUAACUCCGUGCCAGCAGCCGCGGUAAUACGGGGGGGGCAAGCGUUGUUCGGAUUUACUGGGCGUAAAGGGAGCGUAGGCUGUCGGUUAAGUCCGGUGUGAAAUCUUCACCGCUCAACGGGAAGUUGUCACCGGAUACUGGCCGGCUAGAGUGAGGUAGAGGCAAGCGGAAUUCCUGGUGUAGCGGUGGAAUGUGUAGAUAUCAGGAAGAACAUCUGUGGCGAAGGCGGCUUGCUGGGCCUUUACUGACGCUGAGGCUCGAAAGCGUGGGGAGCAAACGGGAUUAGAUACCCCGGUAGUCCACGCUGUAAACGGUGCGCACUGGGUGUGGAGGGUAUCGACCCCCUCUGUGCCGAAGCUAACGCGUUAAGUGCGCCGCCUGGGGAGUACGGCCGCAAGGUUGAAACUCAAAGGAAUUGACGGGGGCCCGCACAAGCGGUGGAGGAUGUGGUUUAAUUCGACGCAACGCGAAGAACCUUACCUGGGCUUGAACCGCCAAUUAAUCUUUUGGAAACAAGAGGUCCCCGCAAGGGGGAAUUGGUAGAGGUGCUGCAUGGCUGUCGUCAGCUCGCGUCGUGAGAUGUUGGGUUAAGUCCCGCAACGAGCGCAACCCCUGUUGCUAGUUACCAGCGCGUCAUGGCGGGGACUCUAGCAAGACCGCCGGUGGUAAACCGGAGGAAGGUGGGGAUGACGUCAAGUCCUCAUGGCCCUUACGUCCAGGGCUACACACGUCCUACAAUGGCCGGAACAACGGGCUGCAAGCCUGCGAAGGCAAGCCAAUCCCUUAAAUCCGGUCUCAGUUCAGAUUGCAGUCUGCAACUCGACUGCAUGAAGCUGGAAUCGCUAGUAAUCGCGGAUCAGCAUGCCGCGGUGAAUACGUUCCCGGGCCUUGUACACACCGCCCGUCACACCACGAAAGAUGGUUGUCCCAGAAGUCGCUGUCGGAACCCGCAAGGGGCCAAGGCGCCGAAGGAAUGGUCGGCAAUUGGGGUGAAGUCGUAACAAGGUA
rnacentral:rRNA from 1 species